rnacentral:rRNA from 1 species
UACGAAGGGUGCAAGCGUUAAUCGGAAUUACUGGGCGUAAAGCGCGCGUAGGUGGUUCAGCAAGUUGGAUGUGAAAGCCCUGGGCUCAACCUGGGAACUGCAUCCAAAACUACUGAGCUAGAGUACGGUAGAGGGUAGUGGAAUUUCCUGUGUAGUGGUGAAAUGCGUAGAGAUCGGAAGGAACACCAGUGGCGAAGGCGACUCGUCUGGACCAUACUGACGCUGAGGUGCGAAAGCGUGGGGAGC